rnacentral:rRNA from 1 species
CAGCACCUCAAGUGGUCAGGAUGAUUAUUGGGCCUAAAGCAUCCGUAGCCGGGGCUGUAAGUUUUCGGUUAAAUCUGUACGCUCAACGUACAGGCUGCCGGGAAUACUGCAGCGCUAGGGAGUGGGAGAGGUAGACGGUACUCGGUAGGAAGGGGUAAAAUCCUUUGAUCUAUUGAUGACCACCUGUGGCGAAGGCGGUCUACCAGAACACGUCCGACGGUGAGGGAUGAAAGCUGGGGGAGCAAACCGGAUUAGAUACCCGAGUAGUCC